rnacentral:lncRNA from 1 species
CCCUGACCAAGAUUUUGCUAAAUUAAAAUAUGACUGUACACAGCUCCUGAACAAGUUUAAGGACUAAACGACAAAUCCUUCUUUGUCGAGUCUAAAUAGUCCUAAGGACUUCACCAUAACACAGGAGUUCAUUAGAAGAUGAAACAAUUUAUGAUGAAAAAUAUCAAAAUAAUAUUUAAUAAUUUAUAAUUCAUAUACUAAUAUAAGAAAGAGCACAAUCAUCAACAAGC